GCGCAACAGUAGAUUCUUCAGGUUCGAUCAUGACUGCUAAUUUAACCCAAACCCCCAUUGAUGGAGCUGCUGAUAGUUCUGCUGCGGCCCCUCCAUCUCUCACCAUCCCGACUCCAGCGAAUGGUGCAUUAGUUGGAGGAAGUGUUGUCGGGGCCGACAAUGCUAGGAUCGACUCGGGAGCUACCUUCGAUGGAACGUCGGGUUCCCUUGCCGGUACCGAUGGGGUGUCAUCCUGACUCUUUCUCGACAGUCGAAAAGAUCCAGCGUCAGUCGCUGCCAUUUUCUUGACAGCAUGCAGGCGGAUAUCAAUAAUUGAAACUCAUGCCCUUGUCCGCAUAGCUGAAAUCAAAAGAAAAAGAUCAAUACAAAAUCCAAAAAUAAACAAAAAAAUGAAGUGAUCGACUAUGUUAUACCUAAAGAAAUUACCG
rnacentral:lncRNA from 1 species